rnacentral:piRNA from 1 species
UGACGGACUACACCUGUGCAAUCGCAA